GGGCUUGACAUCCCACGAACCUGAAAGGGAAGGGAUCCCGCAAGGGAAGCCGGCACAGGUGGUGCAUGGCUGUCGUCAGCUCGUGUCGUGAGAUGUUGGGUUAAGUCCCGCAACGAGCGCAACCCUCACCCUCUGUUACCAGCGGGUUAUGCCGGGCACUCCGAGGGAGCUGCCCCGGUCAACGGGGAGGAAGGCGGGGACGACGUCAAGUCAUCAUGCCCCUUACGUCCUGGGCUACACACGUGCUACAAUGGCCGGUACAGAGGGCUGCAAACCCGCGAGGGGGAGCUAAUCCCACAAAGCCGGCCUAAGUUCAGAUUGCAGGCUGCAAUUCGCCUGCAUGAAGGAGGAAUCGCUAGUAAUCGCGCAUCAGCACGGCGCGGUGAAUACGUUCCCGGGCCUUGUACACACCGCCCGUCACACCACGAAAGUCGGCUGUACUCGAAGUCGCUGAG
rnacentral:rRNA from 1 species